rnacentral:rRNA from 1 species
UACGUAGGGUGCGAGCGUUGUCCGGAAUUAUUGGGCGUAAAGAGCGCGCAGGCGGUCGUCCAAGUCGCGUGUGAAAGCCCCCGGCUCAACUGGGGAGGGUCACGCGAUACUGGUCGACCCGAAGGCAGGAGAGGGUAGUGGAAUUCCCGGUGUAGUGGUGAAAUGCGUAGAGAUCGGCAGGAACACCCAGGGGGAAACCAGCCGACUGGGCAUCUGCUGACGCUGAGGUGCGAGAGCGUGGGGAGCGAACCGG